GAUGAACGCUGGCGGCGUGCCUAAUACAUGCAAGUCGAGCGAACGGACGAGAAGCUUGCUUCUCUGAUGUUAGCGGCGGACGGGUGAGUAACACGUGGAUAACCUACCUAUAAGACUGGGAUAACUUCGGGAAACCGGAGCUAAUACCGGAUAAUAUUUUGAACCGCAUGGUUCAAAAGUGAAAGACGGUCUUGCUGUCACUUAUAGAUGGAUCCGCGCUGCAUUAGCUAGUUGGUAAGGUAACGGCUUACCAAGGCAACGAUGCAUAGCCGACCUGAGAGGGUGAUCGGCCACACUGGAACUGAGACACGGUCCAGACUCCUACGGGAGGCAGCAGUAGGGAAUCUUCCGCAAUGGGCGAAAGCCUGACGGAGCAACGCCGCGUGAGUGAUGAAGGUCUUCGGAUCGUAAAACUCUGUUAUUAGGGAAGAACAUAUGUGUAAGUAACUGUGCACAUCUUGACGGUACCUAAUCAGAAAGCCACGGCUAACUACGUGCCAGCAGCCGCGGUAAUACGUAGGUGGCAAGCGUUAUCCGGAAUUAUUGGGCGUAAAGCGCGCGUAGGCGGUUUUUUAAGUCUGAUGUGAAAGCCCACGGCUCAACCGUGGAGGGUCAUUGGAAACUGGAAAACUUGAGUGCAGAAGAGGAAAGUGGAAUUCCAUGUGUAGCGGUGAAAUGCGCAGAGAUAUGGAGGAACACCAGUGGCGAAGGCGACUUUCUGGUCUGUAACUGACGCUGAUGUGCGAAAGCGUGGGGACCAAACAGGAUUAGAUACCCUGGUAGUCCACGCCGUAAACGAUGAGUGCUAAGUGUUAGGGGGUUUCCGCCCCUUAGUGCUGCAGCUAACGCAUUAAGCACUCCGCCUGGGGAGUACGACCGCAAGGUUGAAACUCAAAGGAAUUGACGGGGACCCGCACAAGCGGUGGAGCAUGUGGUUUAAUUCGAAGCAACGCGAAGAACCUUACCAAAUCUUGACAUCCUUUGACAACCCUAGAGAUAGAGCUUUCCCCUUCGGGGGACAAAGUGACAGGUGGUGCAUGGUUGUCGUCAGCUCGUGUCGUGAGAUGUUGGGUUAAGUCCCGCAACGAGCGCAACCCUUAAGCUUAGUUGCUAUCAUUAAGUUGGGCACUCUAAGUUGACUGCCGGUGACAAACCGGAGGAAGGUGGGGAUGACGUCAAAUCAUCAUGCCCCUUAUGAUUUGGGCUACACACGUGCUACAAUGGACAAUACAAAGGGCAGCGAAACCGCGAGGUCAAGCAAAUCCCAUAAAGUUGUUCUCAGUUCGGAUUGUAGUCUGCAACUCGACUACAUGAAGCUGGAAUCGCUAGUAAUCGUAGAUCAGCAUGCUACGGUGAAUACGUUCCCGGGUCU
rnacentral:rRNA from 1 species